rnacentral:other from 1 species
CCAAGCCUGCGUUGUUCGUGUUAGGAUUAAUGCCCUUUAACCUAUUUAAGCUCAGGGAUCUCAAUAUUCAGAUCUGUAGGCCAUGCCCGAAAGGGACUGCUGAAUUGUCUGUGAGGGAACCCACCUGUACUACAGGUUAAGAGCGGCUUUUUUCUCACGGCAAACGCGGGUUUUUA